GAUGAACGCUGGCGGCGUGCCUAAUACAUGCAAGUCGAGCGAACGGACGAGACGCUUGCUUCUCUGAUGUUAGCGGCGGACGGGUGAGUAACACGUGGAUAACCUACCUAUAAGACUGGGAUAACUUCGGGAAACCGGAGCUAAUACCGGAUAAUAUUUUGAACCGCAUGGUUCAAAAGUGAAAGACGGUCUUGCUGUCACUUAUAGAUGGAUCCGCGCUGCAUUAGCUAGUUGGUAAGGUAACGGCUUACCAAGGCAACGAUGCAUAGCCGACCUGGGAGGGUGAUAGGCCAAACUGGAACUGAGACACGGUCCAGACUCCUACGGGAGGCAGCAGUAGGGAAUCUUCCGCAAUGGGCGAAAGCCUGACGGAGCAACGCCGCGUGAGUGAUGAAGGUCUUCGGAUCGUAAAACUCUGUUAUUAGGGAAGAACAUAUGUGUAAGUAACUGUGCACAUCUUGACGGUACCUAAUCAGAAAGCCACGGCUAACUACGUG
rnacentral:rRNA from 1 species